AGGAGGAGGAGGGCUCCCGACGGCUGCGGGCGACUGCGAGCGUUUGCACCGCUGCUCCCUUUUUCUGUCCCCAAAACGAAGUCUCAUGAAAGGUUGUUUCGCCUUCACGUCCCGUCCCGCUGAAGCCGGGAGCCGCUGCAGGAGCCCCCGCCCGCUGCUGCUGCUGCUGCUGUUGCUGUCUGACGGCCGACUGUAGGCGAGAGCGGCUUCACCUGAACCGGGCGAGGCUCAGUGCACGACCGGCCCGCAACGGAGCCGUCUCUCAGUCCACCGCAGGCUUCCAGUAACUCUCUCACCCAGCUACCCUUCACUCGUCCUCCAUUCCCCACCACCCGGCCUAUAGUCUAAGCCGAUUCACACUGAGACCGUCCCUCUAAAGACGCUAUGGUCUGGCGGCGCUCUCGGCUGAUAUGCUCUUUGCUCCUCUGAUCACCGAGAACCCGCCCAGGAGCCUGUUGACAAGAUACCUUCAAAUCCGAGAUUACGUGAAAACAUAUACACAAGACUGUCCUCUUAUGGGUCCAGAUAUAUUAGACGAUUGUUUGAAUAGACAUGCCGAUACAAGUAUACGGGAGCACUCGACACCUAGUCUUUCCUCCAGUCUUUCCAUCACCUUUGGAAACUAUUGCUGUUUAUCAACAUGAGGACCAAAUUUGUGCCAAUGAAAGUCAAUAAGCCAUUAUGAGACUGAGAAACAAAAAUAAAACUGUCCGCAGAAAACUUCAUGAACAGAAAUAGAGAGGCUACACUGCAAGAUGCAAACCACUGGUUAGCUGCAAAAAUAGGAUGGCCGAGUUACAGUUUGCCAAGAAUUACUUAAAAGAGCAACCACAGAAACCAAAAUGUAUAAAAAUGGCCUUUAUUAAAAUCUGACAAUGUGCAUUUGAACCACAUGUGAUUGUUUUUCUAUUAUAAAUCUCAAUUUGUGUAGUACAGAGACAAAUAAAUAAAUGAUGUGUCUCUGCCCCGAACAUUAUGGAGGGCACUGUAUGUCCUCUGGACCUCGGUUCACCUACUCUGGGCAAGAGACUCUGUGCAUCAACCCGAUCUAUUUCUCUCAUGAUUUUACACAUUGGUUCCAAUAAUCACAUUGGAUGAAACAUCCCCCCAUUAUCUAAAUAUGUCAAAAUGUGAUUAAAUAAGAUCCUUCUAAAUGGCAGUGAGUGUUGGUCCAAGUGGCUCAAUCUACAUCAAUUCCUUCAUCCCAGGAAUCAUUGUAACAAAUCUUCGCUGCAAUGUCUCCAAUGCAAGUAUAUGUGGCUUUUUACAAUGAUGCAAACAAGAAUGUGACAAAUGGGGUCAAAUUUCAAUUUCCUUCAAAAAAGUUGAUAGGCACUUUAUUGGGUUCAUGACUAACAUAGUAUCAACAAAAAAUAUAAGAAAAGAUAGCAUAUUGAUGUCAAGUUUCUGAAAAUGGCAUCAGAAUACACAAAUACAUUUUGUGUAAUGGUCGUCGCUGGUGUCCACCAGUGACCUGGUUGGCAAAGUAAGUGCACGUAUUUCUUAUUCCUUUCUAUGUUUAUGAAUACCAUGGAACAAUAAAAUUGCAAACACCGUUUCCAUUUCAUUCACCUGAUCAUGUAGUAAAACACUGCAUCCAUCUGAGUGGACUCCGCAACGCGCGUUACACAUCAUACACACAAACGUACGUUGCAGUGGACACUAAAAGGUUUGGUAUCCCAGAAAACGAACGUUACAUUAUUAGCGAGAACCAAGUAUUUUCACCAAUGUGAUCUAAACGGUACAUUACCUUAUGGAUUUGAGCUAGCGAUGGCCGAUGAUUUGUCAGAACGUUUGAUUUGGGCUGAUUUUUUAAGUAAAAUGUCUCCGUAACGGUCAUUGCGGAGCUUCCCGAAGUUGACGCGAAGGAAUAAAGUUAGCGACUUGGUCCGUACGAAAGGUAAACAAGAGACAGUCAGUUGCCAAAUUAAAGAUUGGCCCCAUUUCUUUGUUUUGAUGACCAAUUCAUGUCAAAUUUUUAUUUAUUGAUUUAAAAAAGUCAGAAAAUAUAUCGUAAACGGUUUUGUGUUUUUGACACCGCGAUGUUUUUGAUACAUUAAGUUUGAAAAUAAGAAAAAAUAAUUAACUCGCC